rnacentral:rRNA from 1 species
AGAGUUUGAUCCUGGCUCAGAACGAACGCUGGCGGCGUGCCUAACACAUGCAAGUCGAACGAGAAAGUUUCUUCGGAAACGAGUAAAGUGGCGCAAGGGUGAGUAACACGUGAAUAAUCUGCCCUCAAACCUGGGAUAACUUGACGAAAGUUAAGCUAAUACCGGAUAAGACCACGUCCUAUAUGGGACGCGGUAAAAGGAGUCUCAAACUCCAUUUGAGGAUGAGUUCGCGGACCAUUAGCUUGUUGGCGGGAUAACAGCCCACCAAGGCUACGAUGGUUAGCCGGCCUGAGAGGGCGAUCGGCCACACUGGAACUGAGACACGGUCCAGACUCCUACGGGAGGCAGCAGUGGGGAAUUUUGCGCAAUGGGCGAAAGCCUGACGCAGCAACGCCGCGUGAGGGAUGAAGGUUUUCGGAUCGUAAACCUCUGUCGAGUGGGAAGAAACAAAUGACGUACCAUAAAGAAGCUCCGCUAACU